CAUUACUCCGACUCAGUUUGUUUCCGACAGCUGUGGCAUGCACUUCGUUUAGGGUAUCGUCGGUGAAUCAAGCCUCCGCGUCUCUCCGGUAACUGCAAGAGUGCGGUAGCAAACUCGCUGACCUUAGGAGACCGGAGUGACAGGAUCAAGGGCGAAGCUGCACAGUGAGAAGCAUCAGAAGUUUUACUGUUCAUCAAAUAUUAUCUUGAUAAUGAACUCGAAGAAUAUGAAAUGGGCGGUGAAUAUAGGGCACAUGGGGAGAUGAGAAGUGCGUGCAGAAUUAUGGAUUGGAAACUGUAUUGACUUAGUUGCAGGAUAAUAUUAAAAUAGAUCUUGAGGAAAUCA